GACGAACGCUGGCGGCGUGCCUAAUACAUGCAAGUCGAACGCAGGGGGGACGGGUGAGUAACACGUGGGUAACCUCCCAUCAGAGGGGAUAACACUUGGAAACAGGCGCUAAACCAAUAUUGAUGGAUGUACGCGGGGUGCAUUAGCUAGUGGGUGGGGUAACGGCUCAGCAAGGCCACGAUGCAUAGCCGACCUGAGAGGGUGAUCGGCCACACUGGGACUGAGACACGGCCCAGACUCCUACGGGAGGCAGCAGUAGGGAAUCUUCGGCAAUGGACGAAAGUCUGACCGAGCAACGCCGCGUGAGUGAAGAAGGUUUUCGGAUCGUAAAACUCUGUUGUUAGAGAAGCUGUAUCUAAACAGGAAGCCCCGGCUAACUACGUGCCAGCAGCCGCGGUAAUAC
rnacentral:rRNA from 1 species